rnacentral:rRNA from 1 species
UACGUAGGGUGCAAGCGUUGUCCGGAAUUAUUGGGCGUAAAGAGCUCGUAGGCGGUUUGUCGCGUCUGCUGUGAAAACGCGAGGCUCAACCCCGCGCCUGCAGUGGGUACGGGCAGACUAGAGUGCGGUAGGGGAGAUUGGAAUUCCUGGUGUAGCGGUGGAAUGCGCAGAUAUCAGGAGGAACACCGAUGGCGAAGGCAGAUCUCUGGGCCGUAACUGACGCUGAGGAGCGAAAGCGUGGGGAGCGAACAGG